AAACGACUGAGAUGUGCGUCGUACUUUCAUAUGUGUUGACCUUACGUUUGUUUUUGAUUAGGGAUUUUAAUGACUCAUGUGCUAACAUGCCUUUUCACUUGGUAGUUAAAUAGCAUGCGCUGAAAAGCCCACCUGUUUUCUUACAGGUUCAAAACUAUAAAGUACACGAAACGGCAUUUCGGUUUUUUA
rnacentral:other from 2 species